rnacentral:rRNA from 1 species
GACGAACGCUGGCGGCGUGCUUAACACAUGCAAGUCGAACGGAAAGGCCCUGCUUUUGUGGGGUGCUCGAGUGGCGAACGGGUGAGUAACACGUGAGUAACCUGCCCUUGACUUUGGGAUAACUUCAGGAAACUGGGGCUAAUACCGGAUAGGAGCUCCUGCUGCAUGGUGGGGGUUGGAAAGUUUCGGCGGUGGGGGAUGGACUCGCGGCUUAUCAGCUUGUUGGUGGGGUAGUGGCUUACCAAGGCUUUGACGGGUAGCCGGCCUGAGAGCGUGACCGGCCACCUUGGGACUGAGAUACGGCCCAGACUCCUACGGGAGGCAGCAGUGGGGAAUAUUGCACAGUGGGCGGAAGCCUGUUGCAGCAACGCCGCGUGCGUGAUGCCGGCCUUCGAGUUGUAAACCGCUUUCGCCUGUGACGAAGCGUGAGUGACGGUAAUGGGUAAAGAAGCACCGGCUAACUACGUG